AUUGAACGCUGGCGGAAUGCUUUACACAUGCAAGUCGAACGGUAGAGGGGGCAACCCCUUGAGAGUGGCGAACGGGUGAGUAAUAUAUCGGAACGUGCCCAGUCGUGGGGAUAACGUAGCGAAAGUUACGCUAAUACCGCAUACGAUCUAUGGAUGAAAGCGGGGGAUCGCAAGACCUCGCGCGAUUGGAGCGGCCGAUAUCAGAUUAGGUAGUUGGUGAGGUAAAGGCUCACCAAGCCGACGAUCUGUAGCUGGUCUGAGAGGACGACCAGCCACACUGGGACUGAGACACGCCCAGACUCCUACGGGAGGGCAGCAGUGGGGGAAUAUUGGACAAUGGGCGGAAAGGACCUC
rnacentral:rRNA from 1 species